rnacentral:lncRNA from 1 species
UCUCCGAUAUGUUCCUUGGCUCCAUCGAUGAGUCCACCACUGUGACAAGAAUCUGAUACGAACGUAAGCUUACAUCCCGAUGGAACUUGGUCCACUAAAUCCCUGAAAUCAUCAUCUGCAUUGCAACACACAAGACGGUACACAUUAUUCUAUCAAUGUCCAUUCAAAACAGAGUACUCUGUUUCUCUCUGUUUAUGAACAGAGUUCUCUGUUUUUCCUUCAGAAACGGAGAACUAAAUGUAAAUGAUCUGCUUACCAGGGAUUGGAUUCAUGUCGCAAGGAACAAUACAUUCAUCAAACCCCGUGUCAUCCUCUUCCCCUUCUUCCAGUGGGACCCUCGUACCGUGUCCACUAUAAUGCACGAACAGAACAUCACCGGGCUUAGCUGGCGUUAUGAGUUUAGAC